rnacentral:lncRNA from 1 species
AGAAUAACCCCCUGCCCUCGACAUUGUGCACUUUCUUUAUUAAUCAGAGUGAGACUCUGAGGUCUGAAGUAGACUUUGUGUACUUGGGAGAGAGCCCAAGAAAUCACUCAAAAUUUCUCUACCUUGUGAAUUACUUUCACAAGUGACAAUUUAGAAGCAGACAAACCCGGCCUACUCUAAGGGGGUUAAGGAGAGAGGAUAAGGAGAGAAACUCUUAAAGAAGACUGCAACAGAGGAAGCAGAAGGUGUUCUCGUCUGUGUUUCAGUGUUGCUUUGUUCUCCAGUCAUGAGAGCUACAUCAUAAAUCAUCUGUCUGUUGUGCCCAUUGGAUGAUGAGCUCCCAGAGGGCAAGAACUGUACUCUGCUGUGUACUGUCUUCACCAUGAGAGGCUGUGUAGAAAAAAGAAUGUGGGAACUUAAUAGGUAGAACCAAAUUAUAAUAUAGGAAACAUAGCAUCAUAUUUAAUCAUUUUGGGGUAAUAAUUCUGUUUUGGUUAUUAUAUUCACUGCCUCUCAACAAAUUUGGGCCAUCC